rnacentral:rRNA from 1 species
GAUGAACGCUGGCGGCGUGCCUAAUACAUGCAAGUCGAGCGAACAGACGAGGAGCUUGCUCCUCUGACGUUAGCGGUGGACGGGUGAGUAACACGUGGAUAACCUACCUAUAAGACUGGGGUAACUUCGGGAAACCGGAGCUAAUACCGGAUAAUAUAUUGAACCGCAUGGUUCAAUAGUGAAAGACGGUUUUGCUGUCACUUAUAGAUGGAUCCGCGCCGCAUUAGCUAGUUGGUAAGGUAACGGCUUACCAAGGCAACGAUGCGUAGCCGACCUGAGAGGGUGAUCGGCCACACUGGAACUGAGACACGGUCCAGACUCCUACGGGAGGCAGCAGUAGGGAAUCUUCCGCAAUGGGCGAAAGCCUGACGGAGCAACGCCGCGUGAGUGACGAAGGUCUUCGGAUCGUAAAACUCUGUUAUUAGGGAAGAACAAAUGUGUAAGUAACUAUGCACGUCUUGACGGUACCUAAUCAGAAAGCCACGGCUAACUACGUG